UGCAAGUCGGACGGUAGCACAGGAGAGCUUGCUCUUUGGGUGACGAGUGGCGGACGGGUGAGUAAUGUCUGGGAAACUGCCCGAUGGAGGGGGAUAACUACUGGAAACGGUAGCUAAUACCGCAUAACGUCGCAAGACCAAAGUGGGGGACCUUCGGGCCUCACACCAUCGGAUGUGCCCAGAUGGGAUUAGCUAGUAGGCGGGGUAAUGGCCCACCUAGGCGACGAUCCCUAGCUGGUCUGAGAGGAUGACCAGCCACACUGGAACUGAGACACGGUCCAGACUCCUACGGGAGGCAGCAGUGGGGAAUAUUGCACAAUGGGCGCAAGCCUGAUGCAGCCAUGCCGCGUGUAUGAAGAAGGCCUUCGGGUUGUAAAGUACUUUCAGCGGGGAGGAAGGCGAUGCGGUUAAUAACCGCGUCGAUUGACGUUACCCGCAGAAGAAGCACCGGCUAACUCCGUGCCAGCAGCCGCGGUAAUACGGAGGGUGCAAGCGUUAAUCGGAAUUACUGGGCGUAAAGCGCACGCAGGCGGUCUGUUAAGUCAGAUGUGAAAUCCCCGGGCUCAACCCGGGAACUGCAUUUGAAACUGGCAGGCUUGAGUCUCGUAGAGGGGGGUAGAAUUCCAGGUGUAGCGGUGAAAUGCUUAUAGAUCUGGAGG
rnacentral:rRNA from 1 species